AAGAGAGGACAGAUAGAUCCUAAGCAAUUCAUGGCGAGAGGGAUUAGAGAUUGUUUCUGCCAAGUGCUUCGUGUGCUGAAGCCAUCACUGUUUGCGGAGGAGGACAAGAUUGACGAGGAAGUCACAUGGGCAAAAGUUCAUGUGCAAUCUGACACGGACUCUUGUGGGGUUCAUGUGUUGAGCUGGUUACAAACAUGGGACGGCACUGAGUAUGGUGAUGACGGCUACACAAUGCC